GAGAGAGAGACAUGCGCGCAUAUCAAUAAGCGGAGGAAAAGAAACUAACUAGGAUUCCCUCAGUAACGGCGAGUGAAGCGGGAAGAGCUCAAAUUUGAAAUCUUCAAGGUUCUACCUUGACGAAUUGUAGUUUAAAGAAGUGUUUUCUGUUGAGGUUUUGGUAAAAGUUCUUUGGAAUAGGACAUCAUAGAGGGUGAGAAUCCCGUAUUUGACCAUUACUUUCCAGCUUUGUGAUACACUUUCAAAGAGUCGGAUUGUUUGGGAAUGCAGUCCAAAAUGGGUGGUAAAUUUCAUCUAAAGCUAAAUAUUGGCGAGAGACCGAUAGCGAACAAGUACCGUGAGGGAAAGAUGAAAAGAACUUUGAAAAGAGAGUUAAACAGUACGUGAAAUUGUCAAAAGGGAAGCGUUUGACACCAGUGUUGUUUUCUCGAAAAUCAAUUAAAAAAGGCAGGAUUUUGUGUUGUAUUGACUUUAUCAGCUUUCUGCACUCUUUUCUUGAUCUUUUUUAAUGCACUUUUCGUUUAACAAGUCAACAUCAAUUUCUUUUGUUGUAAAAGGGUCAUUGGAAGGUGGCUUUCUUUUCGGAGAAAGUGUUUAUAGCCUUUGGCCUCUGCAAUCGGAGAGAUUGAGGUCUGCAGCGUAGAUCCUUCGGGGUUAGAUACAUUUGUGCUAAGUUAUAGCCUUUCAUAGACAACUUGUUGACUAUGAUCAGUCAUGUAGCUUACUCGCUUAUGCUAUUUUACCUACGCUUAGGAUGUUGAUGUGAUACUGCGAGCA
rnacentral:rRNA from 1 species